rnacentral:tRNA from 1 species
GACUGCGUAGCUCACUUGGCAGAGCAUUGAGCUAGUAUUCCAAGGGUCGUAGGUUUGAUUCCAACCGUGGCCA